AGUGAACGCUGGCGGUAGGCCUAACACAUGCAAGUCGAACGGCAGCACAGUAAGAGCUUGCUCUUACGGGUGGCGAGUGGCGGACGGGUGAGGAAUACAUCGGAAUCUACUUUUUCGUGGGGGCUAACGUAGGGAAACAUACGCUAAUACCGCAUACGACCUACGGGGGAAAGCAGGGGAUCUUCGGACCUUGCGCGACUGAAUGAGCCGAUGUCGGAUUAGCUAGUUGGCGGGGUAAAGGCCCACCAAGGCGACGGUCCGUAGCUGGUCUGAGAGGAUGACCGGCCACACUGGAACUGAGACACGGUCCGGACUCCUACGGGAGGCAGCAGUGGGGAAUUUUCGCCAAUGGGCGCAGGCCUGAUCCAGCCAUACCGCGUGGGUGAAGAAGGCCUUCGGGUUGUAAAGCCCUUUUGUUGGGAAAGAAAAGCAGCAGGUUAAUACCCCGCUGUUCUGACGGUACCCGAAGAAUAAGCACCGGCUAACUUCGUG
rnacentral:rRNA from 1 species